ACGGACAUAACCCAUUGAAACACUGGUUCUCAUAUGAUCAAUGAAGUUAAGCAAGGUUGGUCUGGUCAGUACCUAGAUGGGUGACUACAUGGGGGCUGCAGGUGGUGUAA